UACGAAGGGGGCUAGCGUUGAUCGGAAUCACUGGGCGUAAAGCGCACGUAGGCGGGUCCUUAAGUCCGGGGUGAAAUCCCGGAGCUCAACUCCGGAACUGCCUUUGAUACUGGGGAUCUUGAGUCCGGAAGAGGUGAGUGGAACUCCGAGUGUAGAGGUGAAAUUCGUAGAUAUUCGGAAGAACACCAGUGGCGAAGGCGGCUCACUGGUCCGGUACUGACGCUGAGGUGCGAAAGCGUGGGGAGCAAACAGG
rnacentral:rRNA from 1 species